rnacentral:rRNA from 1 species
UCGGGAAUUUUGGGCAAUGGGCGAAAGCCUGACCCAGCGACGCCGCGUGAGGGAUGAAGUAUUUCGGUAUGUAAACCUCGAAAGAAUGGGAAGAAUAAAUGACGGUACCAUUUAUAAGCUCCGGCUAACUACGUGCCAGCAGCCGCGGUAAUACGUAGGGAGCAAGCGUUGUUCGGAUUUACUGAGCGUAAAGGGCACGUAGGCGGCGCGGUAAGUCACUUGUGAAAUCUCUGAGCUUAACUCAGAACGGCCAAGUGAUACUGCUGUGCUAGAGUGCGGAAGAGGCAACCGGAAUUCUUGGUGUAGCGGUGAAAUGCGUAGAUAUCAAGAGGAACACCUGAGGCGAAGGCGGGUUGCUGGGCCGACACUGACGCUGAUGCGCGAAAGCCAGGGGAGCAAACG